GUACAAAGAUGUGUGCACAUUCACAUAAGGAGAGCGCGUGAUUGUGUCUCACACACACACACACACACACGGUCUCUCGUAUAAUACUCAAACAGUGGCAAAGACACCUGAGCCAGCAGUUUGUUUCUUUUUUAAAUGACGUGAUUUUGAACAGAUGUAAACAAUGGCAGGAGGCUUAAAAUUAUAGACGUGAAACCAGCUAAAUUUAUUGUACUAAAUCGCAGAAAUGUAGUACUUUAGUCUGCUAUUCCCCGCUCUGUGAAGUAACGUGAGGGAGGAAACUAGUUGGCGUUAGCUAGUUAAUUAGCCAUGUUAUCUGCCUCGGUAGCAAGCCAAAUAGUAUUUAUUUCAACACUGAAACAACCGGCGAAUGGGUCUCUGUCUUGAUUGAGGGUGAAAGAGGGAGAAAUGAAGACGACACAGAUAUAUCGUUUGUGUACGACCUGGAAGUAUUUAUUUAGCGAUCGGCGCCAAAACGGCAUCUGUACGGAACAUCGUUGUGUACGGGACAUGAUUGGUCUACGUUACCCGAGAAAUUCCCAUACGGCAGACUUCGCCUUUUUCGACGGGGGAAAAAGUUCCAGGGAUUCACCUCAUUCGGCCAUCAUCCUACACACAGGUUACUCUCACUGACCGCUAUCCGGAGGAGGAGGGGUUGUGUGACUCGUUACGCUCUUCACUGCUCACAACUGAGGGAGUCCUGCACUUUCCGUAUUUGACGACACGUAAAAAAACUGUGCAUACCGCAGGAACGGUAUAACGGAAAUUUUUUUGUGGUUUUGAAUUUUCCAAACCGUGGUAUACCUUGAAACCGGUUAUCGUCCCAUGCCUAAUCACUGUGCUACGCAAGGGUCAAACUGUGCGGGGACUCCAACGCACCUGAAAGAUGGGAUAAUUGUCGGGCUCCGGGCCAAACAUUCAGCCCUCUAAUACCCACGAGGGUCCGCUGCGGCGCCACGCAUUGCGAAACAUCACUCUUCUGUUCUAACGAGGAGUCAUGGAGAGAGCAGUGCCCAGGGCACCAUCAAGGUUAAUCUGUUAAACACAGGGUGACAAAGCUGCACCAUCAAAUGAGGGGGUUUGCGCAUGUCUAAGAGGUGUUUUUUGGAAGAAAAGAAGAGGUUACUGUUGACAGCUUUGCUUGAGAUUUUAAGGGUUGCCAUCCACCCUAAGGGAUCAUUCAUAUAGAUAAAACUCAGUUACAUCUAACAAAAAUAGCAUUGCAGUGUUGAAUGUUUCUACUGCAGGCCUACUGCGGUUGCAAAUAGUUUUAUAAUUGAGAUGCGUUUCACCCAAGGCAAACACGCUUUCAAAGCAGGUUACUAGUUUAGAUGAGAGUUCAGUAACGCUUAAAGAUUUCAUCUUGAAUCGUGUUUUCAUAUUCAAAUUUCAAAUUACUCUGAUCUUGAGAUUACAAUUUAAGAGUUAGAUGCUGCUUUGUGAAUGAUUAACAUUUAGUGUAUAGCAAAAAAGAGUUUGUUUUCCAUAGAACAAUUAUAAAUUGUUGCACAGUCAAUUUCAAAGAAAUAUUCAGAGUUUGAAACAAGUUAGGCUCAAAUAACAGCAUCUAUGGCAUCAUGUUGAUUACCAAAAAAAAAAAAUAAUAAUUUACUCCGAAUACUGAAACCUGAUUUGUUAACGUUCAUGUAACUGCACGAACAAAUGGCAUGUCAGCCCACCAAAACAGACAGACAGGGCUGACUGACUACUGUAUAUAAGUCAAGGCUAAAUGCCAUUUCAUCAGAAUCUUUCCCUUUCAGUGCGAAGAUCAUCUCCUCGCUGGAAUCUGAAGAAUAAUGAAGAAGCCUGCUUAUUUGCCAUAUGUGCACUCUUCUGAUUUGGCAUCCCAACCUGAGUUGUAGAGGCUUCAUGUUUGACCCCUCGACGGGACUCUUUACAGCUCCCCAUGAGGGUAGCUAAUACCAUUAUCUGCAUUUGCUCAUUACUGUCAAUAAAGACCCUGUUUGCUUCUUCAGUCUGUGUCCGUGUUCACAUUCUGUAACAAGAAGACAUAAAUACAUGUGUGUUAAGAUUUUUGUAUGAAAAUUGAAUGGAAUGAACAUUUUACUUUGAUGCCAUGACAAUGUAAACUUUAUAUGCUCCAAAAAAAAAAAAAGUUUUAAAAGAAACAAAAAAAUAAUAAUAAUAAUGUAAUAAUACUGUAGCAGUUCAAUGAAGGGUUGGAAUGCAUGAUGAGAAUGAUAAUUGAACUUUCCUUUAUUGCAGGUUCAGGAGAUUGUGCACGGUGGAGCAGAUGGAUGCCCAGAGAGGAGUGAAUGGAGUGAAUUAUUGGAGUGCGUUGAGAAUGAAGGACAUUCUGAAAACCUUUUGGACACCCCAGCGGAGUGGCUUCAGAGCCAUUGGAGGAGGUGGGCUGAUUCUGAGACCACUGGAUGGGGUGGAAGGCAAGAUGGGCUCAGGCCCUUCAUUAGCUUCCUUGGGAACAAGGAGACAGGCAAGAGCGUCCGCCUUGUAGUUCUUGGCACCUGGAUGAUAGGAGAUGGAGAAAUUGAAGCAGUUCUUUUUCAGGAUGAGUUUCUUGGACAAGAAGGCACAUGAAUGGAGUUUAGGAGGAUUCCCUUGCUGCUAAAACAGCACUACUAGGAGCAGUGCGCUGAUGAAGGUGGUCUUGAGCUUCUGGAAGGCUUCUGUUGCACCUGAAGUCUAGGACAGAGACUUGGGCUUGUUCAUGAACAGAUUUGUCAAUGGACUGUUGAUGGAGCUGUAGUUCUGAAUGAAAUGCUGGUAGAAGUUUGCGAACCCUAGGAAGAAUUGUUGGAAGGUGUGGGCCAAUUCUUGACAACUUCCACCUUUCCCUCGUCCAUAUGGAUACCGUGUUUACUGAUGUUAUAUCCCAGGGAACUGCACUGAGGAAUGAUAUAAAGAGCAAUUUUCAGCUUUAAGGAACAGUUGGAAUUCUCACAGGGAUUUUUUAGAUCUACCUCUAAACAAUCAGUGAGGUGUAAGCUGAUUGUACCAAAAGGUAUGCAUGAGAUUAUUUGAAUUGAUAUGAAUCAGCAGCCAAUUCCUCAAAACAUAAAAUAGUUACUAAUUGCAAUAAGAAUUUAUUUUUCAAAUUACAACCACUUAGUGUUCAGUGUUCACUGUGAAAGAAUUUAACAGCAACAAUAAAACCAAAGACAUUAAAUACACUAAUAUAUUUGAUUCUCAUAUAGCAUAUAGAUAUAGAAAUAAGACUUGCAUAAUUAGUGGCUACGUUUACAUGCACACUUUUUGGUUCAAUCGGACUGAAUUCAUUCCGAUUGAUGAAUCUGAAUGUAGUGUUUACAUGAACACUAAAUAAAGUGAUCGGGUUGAUGUGCGCGUUUGUAUGUCAAGCUUCCAAUCGGAAUUUUUAUUUAUUUUUUUUUUUUUGACAUGCGCACACUACACAAAUAUGGAGUUACUAUUUGCACAUAAUAAUCACUCUCCUACACUGUUUCUUUAUUUGUUUUUAACAGUGGAAUUAAUAUUUAUCCACUUCUGGAUAAAUAUAACUGCAGUGCCGUGCUGCUCAUAUCGUGCAAUAAAAAUGAGCACAAAAUGAGUUGCCUGUGGUUGAAAAUCCGAAAAAAAGGACUGGUGGGAGGUUGUCCUGCUCCACUUCACAGAUGCCGAGUGAAAGGAGAGUUUUAUAAUGACAAGACACGCAUUUAUACAACACUUUAUUUAAAGGGAAGAACUGCUCGUUCAGCGCGUCAUACGUCAUGACGCUAUUUCUGCGUUAUUGCACAUGCGCAGUCCUUUCAGUUUCGGUUUUCAAUCCGAUCGAGUGUUUACAUGCACGCUCAAUCGGAUUAGAAAAGGAAUAAACCACCCCCUUCAAUCCGAUCGAAAUUUCAUUCCGAUCGAGCUCAGUCGGAUCGAUUAAGAUGUUUACAUGAAGCCUUUUCAGUCCGAUUGAACCGUCAAUCCGAAUACAAACGGAUUAUUUGGUUGCAUGGCAAUGUAGCCAGUGUCUCUGAUACAGAUUAUUUGCAAUCGUGGGAGAAAAAAAAAGAGAAAGAUGUCAUUAAGACAUUCAUAAUAAAUCUAACGAACUUGAGCAUAGACAGCAUGCAAAAGUCCAAAAUCCAACUGUCAAUUUAUUUUAUUUUGCUGAGAAUUUUAAG